rnacentral:rRNA from 1 species
CGGCCUUUUCUAAUAAAGAGGGCUAAUGACGGUACCGUAAGAAUAAGCACCGGCUAACUACGUGCCAGCAGCCGCGGUAAUACUUAGGGUGCAAGCGUUAAUCGGAAUUACUGGGCGUAAAGCGUGCGCAGGCGGUAAUGUAAGACAGUUGUGAAAUCCCCGGGCUCAACCUGGGAACUGCAUCUGUGACUGCAUUGCUGGAGUACGGCAGAGGGGGAUGGAAUUCCGCGUGUAGCAGUGAAAUGCGUAGAUAUGCGGAGGAACACCGAUGGCGAAGGCAAUCCCCUGGGCCUGUACUGACGCUCAUGCACGAAAGCGUGGGGAGCAAACAGGAUUAGAUACCCUGGUAGUCCACGCCCUAAACGAUGUCAACUGGUUGUUGGGUCUUCACUGACUCAGUAACGAAGCUAACGCGUGAAGUUGACCGCCUGGGGAGA